rnacentral:rRNA from 1 species
GACGAACGCUGGCGGCGUGCCUAAUACAUGCAAGUAGAACGCUGAAGGAGGAGCUUGCUUCUCCGGAUGAGUUGCGAACGGGUGAGUAACGCGUAGGUAACCUGCCUGGUAGCGGGGGAUAACUAUUGGAAACGAUAGCUAAUACCGCAUAAGAGUAGAUGUCGCAUGACAUUUGCUUAAAAGGUGCAACUGCACCACUACCAGAUGGACCUGCGUUGUAUUAGCUAGUUGGUGAGGUAACGGCUCACCAAGGCAGCGAUACAUAGCCGACCUGAGAGGGUGAUCGGCCACACUGGGACUGAGACACGGCCCAGACUCCUACGGGAGGCAGCAGUAGGGAAUCUUCGGCAAUGGACGGAAGUCUGACCGAGCAACGCCGCGUGAGUGAAGAAGGUUUUCGGAUCGUAAAGCUCUGUUGUAAGAGAAGAACGAGUGUGAGAGUGGAAAGUUCACACUGUGACGGUAUCUUACCAGAAAGGGACGGCUAACUACGUG